rnacentral:rRNA from 1 species
GAUGAACGCUGGCGGCGUGCUUAACACAUGCAAGUCGAACGGUGAAGCUCCAGCUUGCUGGCGUGGAUCAGUGGCGAACGGGUGAGUAACACGUGAGCAACCUGCCCCUGACUCUGGGAUAACAGCCGGAAACGGCUGCUAAUACCGGAUAUGCACCAUGAACGCAUGUUCUGUGGUGGGAAAGAUUUUUCGGUUGGGGAUGGGCUCGCGGCCUAUCAGCUUGUUGGUGAGGUAAUGACUCACCAAGGCGUCGACGGGUAGCCGGCCUGAGAGGGUGACCGGCCACACUGGGACUGAGACACGGCCCAGACUCCUACGGGAGGCAGCAGUGGGGAAUAUUGCACAAUGGGCGAAAGCCUGAUGCAGCAACGCCGCGUGAGGGAUGACGGCCUUCGGGUUGUAAACCUCUUUUAGCAGGGAAGAAGCGAGAGUGACGGUACCUGCAGAAAAAGCGCCGGCUAACUACGUG